rnacentral:rRNA from 1 species
AGAGUUUGAUCCUGGCUCAGAUUGAACGCUGGCGGCAGGCUUAACACAUGCAAGUCGAGCGGUAACAGAGAGAAGCUUGCUUCUCUGCUGACGAGCGGCGGACGGGUGAGUAAUGCUUGGGUAUCUGCCUGGUAGUGGGGGAUAACUUGCCGAAAGGUAAGCUAAUACCGCGUACGCCCUACGGGGGAAAGCAGGGGAUCUUCGGACCUUGCGCUAUCAGAUGAGCCCAAGCCGGAUUAGCUUGUUGGUGAGGUAAAGGCUCACCAAGGCGACGAUCCGUAGCUGGUCUGAGAGGAUGAUCAGCCACACCGGGACUGAGACACGGCCCGGACUCCUACGGGAGGCAGCAGUGGGGAAUAUUGGACAAUGGGGGGAACCCUGAUCCAGCCAUGCCGCGUGUGUGAAGAAGGUCUUCGGAUUGUAAAGCACUUUAAGUUGGGAGGAAGGGUUUGCGGUUAAUACCUGCGAAUUUUGACGUUACCAACAGAAUAAGCACCGGCUAACUUCGUGCCAGCAGCCGCGGUAAUACGAAGGGUGCGAGCGUUAAUCGGAAUUACUGGGCGUAAAGCGCGCGUAGGUGGUUUGUUAAGUUGGAAGUGAAAGCCCCGGGCUCAACCUGGGAAUUGCUUUCAAAACUGACAGGCUAGAGUACGGUAGAGGGUAGUGGAAUUUCCUGUGUAGCGGUGAAAUGCGUAGAUAUAGGAAGGAACAUCAGUGGCGAAGGCGACUACCUGGACUGAUACUGACACUGAGGUGCGAAAGCGUGGGGAGCAAACAGGAUUAGAUACCCUGGUAGUCCACGCCGUAAACGAUGUCAACUAGUUGUUGGGGGCCUUGUGCCUUUAGUAACGCAGCUAACGCAUUAAGUUGACCGCCUGGGGAGUACGGCCGCAAGGUUAAAACUCAAAUGAAUUGACGGGGGCCCGCACAAGCGGUGGAGCAUGUGGUUUAAUUCGACGCAACGCGAAGAACCUUACCUACUCUUGACAUCUAGCGAAGAUUGUAGAGAUACGAUUGUGCCUUCGGGAACGCUAAGACAGGUGCUGCAUGGCUGUCGUCAGCUCGUGUUGUGAAAUGUUGGGUUAAGUCCCGCAACGAGCGCAACCC